rnacentral:misc_RNA from 1 species
CCCAACUAUCCCUAUUAAUCAUUAUGGUGAUUCAGAAACCAACAAAACAGGACCACCGUCCUAUUUUAUUAUUCCAUGCUAAUGUAUUCAGACAUAAGCCUGCUUUGAACACUCUAAUUUUUUCAAGAUUAAGGUCCUGGUUUCCUACCACGCUAAAUUAAUAACAUGAUAGUUCCCCAGAAGGUAGAAAUUCUACACGCCAGUACAGACAAUAGCCCGACCAAUGGGUAGACCCCGAAGUUCAACUACGAGCUUUUUAACUGCAACAACUUUAAUAUACGCUAUUGGAGCUGGAAUUACCGCGGCUGCUGGCACCAGACUUGCCCUCCAA